rnacentral:rRNA from 1 species
GAUGAACGCUGGCGGCGUGCCUAAUACAUGCAAGUCGAGCGAACAGAUGAGGAGCUUGCUCCUCUGACGUUAGCGGCGGACGGGUGAGUAACACGUGGAUAACCUACCUAUAAGACUGGGAUAACUUCGGGAAACCGGAGCUAAUACCGGAUAAUAUAUUGAACCGCAUGGUUCAAUAGUGAAAGACGGUUUUGCUGUCACUUAUAGAUGGAUCCGCGCCGCAUUAGCUAGUUGGUAAGGUAACGGCUUACCAAGGCAACGAUGCGUAGCCGACCUGAGAGGGUGAUUGGCCACACUGGAACUGAGACACGGUCCAGACUCCUACGGGAGGCAGCAGUAGGGAAUCUUCCGCAAUGGGCGAAAGCCUGACGGAGCAACGCCGCGUGAGUGAUGAAGGUCUUCGGAUCGUAAAACUCUGUUAUUAGGGAAGGACAAAUGUGUAAGUAACUAUGCACGUCUUGACGGUACCUAAUCAGAAAGCCACGGCUAACUACGUG